CGCUCUCCGAUCUCGCGUCUGUUUCUCUUUCUCUCUCUCUCUCUUCCUCUCUCCCUCUCUCUUGCGCUGUCCCUCAUUCACUCACUCUUCCAUCUUUUUGCCAUUGUGCCAGCUCAAUUUAAAUGUAUCUGCUCUGUAUCUGUUCAAGAGGAGCUAAUCCACGCAAAUCAGGAGCAGUGCCUUUCAGUGUUUGGUUCACAGAGAGGACUCAGCUUGCGGAGGUCACUCGUUCACUGCCGCUCCUCCCAUUAUAUUUCUCCCCCUUAUUGCCGAACUGCUGUAUGUAUACAGUGACUGAAAGGACUCAAUUUACUGCAACUGCUGCCUGGCUUUACUUACAACUUUUUGUUAUAAAGGAACUUACCUCCAUCUGUCUUUUCAAGGACAUAUUGUUAUUCCUGCUUACGAAAAAACCAAUCCAGACUUAG
rnacentral:lncRNA from 1 species